UUUUUUCUUUUCUUUUGUGGUGGUGGUGGUGGUGGUGGUGGUGCUGGGGAUUAAACCCAGGACUUCGUGCAUGCUAACCAAGCAUUGUCCCAAUAAGCUAAGUCCCCAGACCUGGUUAGUGUUUAGAUUCAGUCCUACAGAGUCUGUUAUCGCUCAGAUAUAAUUACUCUGAAGAAUUUUGUUAAUGUUAAAUUAAAAAUUAGAAGAAAUGUUCUGUAUCCAAGGACACAAUACAUUCAUUAGGAAAAUAAAGGAAAGCAGUAAUUCAUGUAGAAUGUAGACCGUCUUGGAUCCUUAUUAGGGCACUAGCCAUGGAUUUAGAUUCACGAUAGUUGCUAUAUAAUAGAGCCCUUUUAAUAAUAAAAGCUUUUUAAAAAAUACAAGUUGGGCUCCCAAUAUCAAACUCUAUAGUCUACAGCAAAUGUAUUAUGGGGAGAUGUAGUUUUAGUAUUCAGACAGUUUAGUCUACAAUUUCUCAAAGAUCUGAUAAGUAGCCAAACUUCCACAAUGCAAAAGCUUUGAAUUGAAAUAUUACAUGAAAAGGACUCAGACUGGUUCUAUACAUUUGUGUUGAUGAUAAUGCUUAGUGUAAAACAUUUUUCAUUGUUGGCACAUUACUGCAAAAUGACACCAGACAUAUUUUCAAGAAUAUUGAGGUUGGAUUUCUUUGGCAUCCUUUUCUAAUUGGUCAAGGUUGAAGAUUUAAUGAAUAAAGAGUUUCACUUAGAAUAAAUUCAUGUCUACUGGUAGUGUUUUUUAAAAAGCAAUCUGCCAAAGAACCAAAAAUUUUGAAUGCUAAUGAAGUUGUUGAGGAAAAACCCCUUAAUUUUAAAUAAUAUUAAUAAAAAACUAAAGAAUAUUACUAUCCAAUUUUCACUUUUUGUUGCUAGAACCCAUCCUAUAUUUUUAAAAUUAUUUUUAUUAGUGCCUAUUAAUUUUACAAAAUGCUGGGUCCCAUCCUAUAUUUAAGCAAAAUACAUAAUGUUAAGAAAAAUGUGGACAUUACUUAUUUAAAUUGAGAUUUAAAAUGAUGAGAAAAUGUAAGUUAUUUUUUAAGUGGGAAUUUCCUUUGUCACAAGGAAUUCACAAUUAUUUAUGGGCAUCAGAGAUGUUAACCAUUCAGUAGUUUGUUUUACCAUACAACUCUAAAGAAGCUAAUGAAUGUACAAAUUUAAUAUUCAGAAAAAGUUGUGAACUCCCUUCUUUACCAACACAGUGGAACGUGUCUUUAAUUCAUGGUGUUGCCUCACAGCUUCUGGUAUUCAAAAACCCAAAUCUUUUUUCAAGUGGAAUAUCCGUGUGUGUGUGUGUGUGUGUGUGUGUGUGUGUAUAUGUGUGUGUGUGUAUGUGUAUGUAUGUAUAUAUAUAUAUAUAUACAUUUUAGAAAUUAGAAGAAAUAAUCCAUUGGUAAUUUCUUAUAAAAAGAAAAAUUGCUUUGAAAUUGAUACAAAACUAUGGAUAUUUAAUUACAGAAAGUCUAGAGUAAAACAGUUUUUCUUCUUGGUGUGACAUUCUCAAAAUAUAUUCCUGGUUUUCCAAGAAGCAGAGAAUGCCAAGACUGUAUACCUGCUGUAACCUUUCUGGUCCUCAUUCUGCUUUAUAUGCUCAUAGGAUACAAUCUGUUCCUACUUUAUCCACCAUUUCCAGUUUGUACCUGUGAACCUACCUUGGAAGAAGCAAGUAAAGUGAUUUUUUUUCUCCAUUAUUUUUAUACCAAUCCUGAAAGACCAGGCCUUUUGCAGUCAAUGUGUUUAAACUGGGUUGUGUUAUUUGGUUACUUAUGGAACAUACAUUUUGAUAAUAUUUCACUCCAAUAAAUUAAGACUUUGAGUGCCAAGAAUUGCUAAGUAACUGUAACAUUGAAAAGUCACUCCCAAGUAAACAUACGUUCUAAAAUAGUAAAUUUGUUAUAUAACCACUUCAGAUUGUACACUUAACUUUUUUUUUUUUUCAACUCAUGUAGACCCUUUCAGAAGUUGAUUCAGAAUAUGGUCAUGGUCACCUUAGUGGAUUUUGUUCCCUCGUUUUGGUCAUGUGAGUUCAAUAUUUUUAAAAUUUCGUAUUUAUACUAAUACGCUUUGGGAAAGGCUGUAAACUCAAUUUUGGCACAUUGUAGAGGUUUCAGUUAAUGAAGUUGUUAUUUUUAUCCUAAGGACUUUAAGGUAUCCUAUAUAAGAUAUGAGAGGGCAUAACAGAUCAUUAGAUGGGUAGAAAUUUAUUAAAAUCUUUAGAUAUUAUGAAUGAGAAAAAAUUUUUUUACAGGAAUUACAUUUGUGUUUUUUGCCAAACCAGACAAGCAAGAAAAUAUGCCUAGGACUGAAUAACCUCCCUUGUUCUUUUUGCCACUGGAUUAUCACAAGUGUAUUCUUGUAAAGAAUAAAAAUCAUGUAAGUGUCAUAAUUUCUGUCUUCAUCUAUUGUCAGCUAGUGUGAGAAGUCAGUUUCUUUGCUAUCUUCACUCAUUCAGAAGCCUGGGGACCAUGAAUUUCCACUUGAAGAAUACAAAUUCCAGAUAUCAAUUUGUAAAUUGUCUGUUUUAGAAUUUCAUUUUGAUUUUAAAGUAAUAAUUGGGAUCCAGGAAGUGUUUGGUUAGAAUAUGUCUUGGAUUUUCAGACAUGCUUAUACAAAAUGCUUUAUUUUCCUAUGCAUAAAAAAAACUUAUUCCUGGUAUAGGUUCUCAGAAUUUUGUUUCUAGCUGAGAACUAAAACAAAACUUAAAGAUUAGCAUAAAACUAACUCUAGGUAAUCAGGACCAUGCUGUCCCAUAAUAAUGUACUGCAUGUGUGAAGGGAAGGGGGAAGAUAACUGGAAACAUGAUUCUGAUAACACAAAUUUUGUGCAUUAAAAGUAUGGAAAUUCCUGAUUGCUUAAAGCUUCAGGAGUAAACUGCAGUGUAUGAACACCUGGUGUGUUAAAAUUGCAGUACACCUAGUGUGUCAGAAUUGCAGUGCAUAGUUGUUUAAAUACAAUAUUCUUUGUGACAACCAAAAUAUGUUGUGGCUGGUGCCAAUAUUUUUGUUAAUGAAAUGUUCGAUGUCUCACUACAGUCUUAUCAGAAUUUUUAGUGUUAUAUGCCAGGCCUAAAGCCAUUUUAUAGCUAUUGGCCUAAUUGUGUAACUUUUUCUUUCAAAAUGUUUUAUUAUAAUACUGUCAUUUCUUUCACUUAAUAUA
ensembl:lncRNA